rnacentral:rRNA from 1 species
UACGUAGGGGGCUAGCGUUGUCCGGAAUCAUUGGGCGUAAAGGGCGCGUAGGCGGCCUGCUAAAGUCGGAUGUGAAAUCCCUCGGCUCAACCGAGGAACUGCAUCCGAUACUGGCGGGCUUGAAUCCGGGAGAGGGAUGUGGAAUUCCAGGUGUAGCGGUGAAAUGCGUAGAGAUGUGGAGGAACACCGGUGGCGAAGGCGCCACUCUGGGCCGAAACUGACGCUGAGGAGCGAAAGCGUGGGUAGCAAACAGG